rnacentral:lncRNA from 1 species
GCAUGCUAUUGUCAUCCUCUCCUAUAGUAGCUUCAAUGACUAAGAGGCCCUUGCCUAUACCACUGACAUGAUCAAGCACCCUCGACAUCGGUCAGUGUCAUGUGCUUCUUUUCACUACCAUCUUCUACUAAUAACUUUAAUGUCCAUAAGUGCAUUGCUGACAUGGUGAUGGUCUUAGACUUGAUAGUGAAACAUCGAACUCGUCACCCAUCAAGU